CUGUUAUAACACUGUCCCAAAUCAGAAUCAUGUAUUUAGCGGUUGUCGUUUGUUUUGAAUGUCAUAUUUGUUUUUCGUUUUAAUUCACAAAUCAAGGAGUUAUUAUUUUUCGUUUCGUUUGCUUUACAUUCGUUAUUUCGGGGUCUUUUAUAGAUUAUUACAUGUAUGCGGUAAGAGUUUUGCUCGUUGUUAAAGGUCAAACACUAUCCUAUAUAUGUUAUAUGUUAUUUUGUCGCUGGUGGAGGAUGUUCUCAAUAGCAAACAUAUCAUAUUUUCUUUUUUAACUUUUAGUAAUAUGUUGAUGGUAUCGCAAACUUAUUUCGAAGUUGAGCCUAUUUUAUUGAUUUUGUUCAUGUGCGUCUACCCAAUAACACUAUUGGAUUCAGCUAAUGGAGGUCUGGCCUAAGCCAAUAUAAC
rnacentral:lncRNA from 1 species